ACCCUAUUCUAAUAAGGCUUUAAUAUCUAGAGCUCAUAGGUGGGAGAUAAAGUAAUACAUACUUACAAGACAUUUAUUGUAUAGUCAAACCAUGGAUCCAAAGAAAUAAGUCAAUAAGUCAAAUCAAGAUGUGCAUGUGUGGCGAAUGAAUGGUAUAUAGUGAUGAUGGUGAUAACAAUGGUGAAAGUCUAAUUCUAUUUUUGCUCUUUUGAGGGGAUACAUACCUUUCUUGCACUUUGAAGCUUUUUGGGGAGAAUGAGAUGCUCUAUAUUUUCUUUUUCUUUUCUCUCAGGUGGGUAUCUUGUGUCCCUAAUUCUACUGUCGGACACUUGUCCAUUUUUACCUCUCGUCUCACUUUUCUUUUCUUUCGAGGUUCCGAGCACUUGCCCCUUUUUAUUUCCUCGUAUCCCUUUUUUUCUUUAGAGCACUCUUCUCAUGAGAUAAUAUAGCAAGUGGUAGUAACAAGAUAACUUGAGCAUUUAUUUCACAGGGGAAAAUAGAAAUGUUUUUGGCCAUUCUCUCCCGGAUUAGGAGUAGAAUACUUUUGGGUGGCUCUGGAGAGGGAAAUGAGUGGAUAUAUGUGGAUGCGUACUUCCGGAGUAGAAGCAACAUGUGUGAGUGAACGUGCAAGAGAAUCUUGAUUUUAACCGCAUGACAAACACCUAUGGGUCUACACAGCUUGACCACACUCAAUGCUCUUAAGAAGUAAAAAGUAAAUGUGUGGCUCAAAGUAUAGC
rnacentral:lncRNA from 1 species